GCAUCAGCCAUGGCGCGGUGAAUACGUUCCCCGGGCCCUUGUACACACCGCCCGUCAAGCCAUGGAAGCCGGGGGCGCUUGAAGUGCGUUGCCGCAAGGCGCGCCCUAGAGCGAAACCGGUGACUGGGGCUAAGUCGUAACAAGGUAAC
rnacentral:rRNA from 1 species